CACCCGCAGGCAGCACUGCCCUAAGCUUCUGCUAUAAUCACAAUAAAACUACACGAAUUGAGCGAUUCGCCAUCACAGCAGCCUAUUUUCUCACACUGGACUGUCACUCAUAUAAAUAAAAGCGAGAGAAGUGAACGGAGUAAACAAUUUUCUUGAGCAAUUGACACUGAUGUGAGGGAUGCGAAACAAUGGACAGACUUUAAGGAUAACAGUACCAACGACUGCUGCAAUGUACUAUCCACGCACUAGGAGGGAAGUUCCAGUUAUGUGUGUUGAAAACCGGCGAUUAAACAGUAUGUCGCAGUUGUGGAAGAACGUCUGAUACCAUGCAUUCAAGGGUCCAUCGCAACAGUUACCGAUCCUCAAAUUGGCACCUCCUUCAUCGGCAGCUGGUAUUGGACCCGUAUUUACAUUUAACGAUUGCAUCGAACACAUCAAUCGGUGAUGCUAUCAACAUCCCAGAAUUUAGCUGGAUAGGGUUGUUCAGUUAAAAUGUUAUUCGUCCACAUCAGCGAAAUGCUGCAUAACAUUGCGUCAUCUGAAAUGAAGCUGUACUCUAGCCGUACCUGAUAGUUCUACAGCAUAUACGCCAUUUUGUCAGUUUUAGUAAUCUGCAUUGUAAAUAAAUGAAAUAAUUUCUAGCGACGGUGUUUUUUAAUGUUUAUUUCAACUUUUAUGAGAACAAAUGAUGCUAUAAACAGAG